rnacentral:rRNA from 1 species
UGGUCAAGUUAUUAAGGGUGCAGGGCGGAUGCCUUGGCACUAGGAGCCGAUGAAGGACGUGAUAAGCUGCGAUAAGCUUCGGGGAGUUGCACGUAAACUUUGAUCCGAAGAUUUCCGAAUGAGGAAACUCACUUAGAGUAAUGUCUAAGUAUCAUUAAGUGAAUACAUAGCUUAAUGAGGGGAACUCAGGGAACUGAAACAUCUAAGUACCUGAAGGAAGAGAAAGAAAUUCGAUUCCGUAAGUAGCGGCGAGCGAACGCGGGUUAGCCCAAACCAAUAAAGUUUUCUUUAUUGGGGUUGCGGACAUAUCAUAACGAAGAGGUAUCGUAAUUGAAGAGGUUUGGAAAGACCCACCACAGAAGGUAAUAGUCCUGUAUGUUAAACGAGAAGACUUUAGAUAUGAUCCAGAGUACUACGGGACACGUGAAACCCUGUGGGAAGCAGGAGGGACCACCCUCCAAGGCUAAAUACUACCUAGUGACCGAUAGCGUAUAGUACCGUGAGGGAAAGGUGAAAAGAACCCCGGGAGGGGAGUGAAAUAGAACCUGAAACCCUGCACUUACAAGCUGUGGAAGCACAUUUCUUGUGUGACCGCGUACUUUUUGUAGAACGGGCCAACGAGUUACGUUAAGUAGCAAGGUUAAGCACUUAAGGUGCGGAGCCGUAGCGAAAGCGAGUUUUAACUGAGCGUUCAGUUACUUGACGUAGACCCGAAACCGGGCGACCUACCCAUGAGCAGGAUGAAGCGAAAGUAAAAUUUCGUGGAGGUCCGAACCCACGAGCGUUGAAAAGCUCGGGGAUGACUUGUGGGUAGCGGUGAAAUUCCAAUCGAGCCCG